AUUGAACGCUGGCGGCAUGCCUUACACAUGCAAGUCGAACGGCGGCACGGGAGCAAUCCUGGUGGCGAGUGGCGAACGGGUGAGUAAUAUAUCGGAACGUGCCCAGUCGUGGGGAUAACGUAGCGAAAGCUACGCUAAUACCGCAUACGAUCUAUGGAUGAAAGCGGGGGAUCGCAAGACCUCGCGCGAUUGGAGCGGCCGAUAUCAGAUUAGGUAGUUGGUGAGGUAAAGGCUCACCAAGCCGACGAUCUGUAGCUGGUCUGAGAGGACGACCAGCCACACUGGGACUGAGACACGGCCCAGACUCCUACGGGAGGCAGCAGUGGGGAAUUUUGGACAAUGGGCGCAAGCCUGAUCCAGCAAUGCCGCGUGCAGGAUGAAGGCCUUCGGUGUAACUGCUUUGUUACGGAACGAAACGGUGAGCUCUAAUACAGUUUGCUAAUGACGGUACCGUAAGAAUAAG
rnacentral:rRNA from 1 species